AGAAUCAACGCUGGCGGCGUGCCUAACACAUGCAAGUCGAACGAGAAAGUGGAGCAAUCCAUGAGUAAAGUGGCGCACGGGUGAGUAACACGUGACUAACCUACCCUUGAGUGGGGGAUAACCUAGAGAAAUCUGGGCUAAUACCGCAUAAUACCUUCGGGUCAAAGGAGCAAUUCGCUUAAGGAGGGGGUCGCGGCCGAUUAGUUAGUUGGCGGGGUAAUGGCCCACCAAGACUGUGAUCGGUAUCCGGCCUGAGAGGGCGCACGGACACACUGGAACUGAAACACGGUCCAGACUCCUACGGGAGGCAGCAGUGGGGAAUUUUGCGCAAUGGGGGAAACCCUGACGCAGCAACGCCGCGUGGAGGAUGAAGCCCCGUUGGGGCGUAAACUCCUUUCGAUCGGGAAGAUAAUGACGGUACCGAGAGAAGAACGCCCCGGCUAACUUCGCGCCAGCAGCCGC
rnacentral:rRNA from 1 species